GGGGAAGUGCUCAGAGGGAUGGAGCUCCCAGAGAAAUGGAGGAGCUGCCUCACUUCAGGAGAGGUUCAAGAAUGAACACAACUGCUUUGCUGUCAGGUUUUAGUGCUGGCUGCAGCUCAUGGGCAGUAAUGGGACCAGCACUGUGUAGCAAACAAGCAGGUGUCAGUGACCAUCCACAACUGGAUAACAACACUUGGAUUUCCAAGAGAACUGGGUGCGACUGCACCUUCCACGGGAGGGAAACCCACGUCACUGCUCCAGGCUCCCUCCUUUCCCACCACAUCUGUAC